GAUGAAGAACGUAGCGAAAUGUGAUACUUGGUGUGAAUUGCAGAAUCCCGCGAAUCAUCGAGUUUUUGAACGCAAGUUGCGCCCGAAGCCAUUCGGCCGAGGGCACGUCUGCCUGGGUGUCACGCAUCGUUGCCCCCCCAAACUCCGGUUCGGGCGGGGCGGAAGUUGGCCUCCCGUGCGUGCCUGCGCGCGCGGUUAGCCCAAAAGCGAGUCCUCGGCGAUGAGCGCCACGACAAUCGGUGGUUUUUUUACCCUCGUUCCUCGUCGUGCGUGCCCCGUCGCCCGAACGCGCUCUUGCAACCCUUACGCGUCGCCUCGGUGGCGCUCCCAACGCGACCCCAGGUCAGGCGGGACUACCCGCUGAGUUUAAGCAUAUCAAUAAGCGGAGGA
rnacentral:misc_RNA from 1 species